rnacentral:rRNA from 1 species
UACGUAGGGGGCUAGCGUUGUCCGGAAUCAUUGGGCGUAAAGCGCGUGUAGGCGGUCCGGUAAGUCCGCUGUGAAAGUCGGGGGCUCAACCCUCGGAUGCCGGUGGAUACUGUCGGGCUUGAGUACGGAAGAGGCGAGUGGAAUUCCUGGUGUAGCGGUGAAAUGCGCAGAUAUCAGGAGGAACACCAAUUUCGAAGGCAGCUCGCUGGGACGUUACUGACGCUGAGACGCGAAAGCGUGGGGAGCAAACAGG